AAUCUUUUUCUUGGUGGGGAUUGAGCAUGCUGUUCUAGUCCCAGUAAUGUCCUGCUCCAACCCUCUUGGGGUCUUUGGUGCCGGUAGCUUCUGUUCAUAGGUUCUAUCCUCAAGCACUGGGACAUGG